AAAACAUGUCUUUUUGAUAAAAAUUUAAAGUCAGGUCUGCUCACUGAAUUAUUUAAAGAGCCGCAGUAUAUUGACUGUGCAAAGGUAGCAUAAUCAAUAGUUUUUUAAUUGGAAACUAGAAUGAAAGAUUAGACGAAAAAUUAAUUUUCUUUGUUUUAAUAAAUUUAAUUUUAAAUUUAAGUGAAAAUGCUUAAAUAUAAUUAAAAGACGAGAAGACCCUAUAGAUUUUUAUUAUUGAAAUGAAUUUUUAAAUUUAAUUUAGUAAAAUAAUUUAAUUGGGGCGAUUUUAUAAUAUAGAUAACUUAAUUUUUUAAAACCAUAAAUAAUUGAAUAUUUGAUCUAAAAUUUUUAAAGAAAAGAUUAAAUUACCUUAGGGAUAACAGCGUAAUUUUAUUUAAGAGUUCAUAUCUAUAAUAAAGUUUGCGACCUCGAUGUUGAAUUAAGAUAAUAUAUUGGAGUAGAAAUUAAUAUAAUUAGUCUGUU
rnacentral:rRNA from 1 species